rnacentral:rRNA from 1 species
CCUACGGGAGGCAGCAGUAGGGGAAUAUUGGACAAUGGGCGCAAGCCUGAUCCAGCCAUCCCGCGUGCAGGAUGAAGGUCCUAUGGAUUGUAAACUGCUUUUAUCAGGGAAGAAACCUUGGGAUUCAUCCCAAGUUGACGGUACCUGAGGAAUAAGCACCGGCUAACUCCGUGCCAGCAGCCGCGGUAAUACGGAGGGUGCAAGCGUUAUCCGGAUUUACUGGGUUUAAAGGGUGCGUAGGUGGGUCUUGUAAGUCAGCGGUGAAAGCUCGGAGCUCAACUCCGAAAUUGCCAUUGAUACUGCAAGGCUUGAGUACAGUUGAGGUAGGCGGAAUAUGUCAUGUAGCGGUGAAAUGCUUAGAUAUGACAUAGAACACCAAUUGCGAAGGCAGCUUGCUAAACUGAAACUGACACUGAGGCACGAAAGCGUGGGGAGUACAACAGAUAGUAUACCUACGUACGUCACGACCGUAACGUACGUGCUACUACGUA